CUUGUUCUACAUGGUCAAGCUUGAGGGGGAGUGUUGAGAUGAGGUGAUAAGGAGUGGAUACAUUGAUAGAGGAAGAGUAUUGGGGCAGUUAGUAACUUUGGGGAUUUACCACAGUAACUUUAGUUUUACUGUGGUAACUAAGUUAAAACAUUGGGAAGUUACCUUUCACCCAUUUGGAGAGUGGAUCACGCCUAAGGAGAGUUUGGAUAAGGAAGGAGCAGUCUGGAUAAGGUCUGGUCAUAGCUGGAAAGGAAAACACCUUUACAGCCUGUCCAAGCAUGUGAGAACACCCAUUGGCUGCUUUUGGAUGGCUCUCCUUGACUCCACACGUUCUGGAUCCCCUCUGACCCUAUGAUUUCGAAUUGUAUCAUGUAUUACUCAUAUAAAGCCUUGUAAACCUGAUUGAUAAUAAUUAAUGGAGUUUUGAGUCUCUCUCUCUCUAGAAUCUCUCUAUUCUCUAAAUUCUACUCUAAUCUUCUCUGAUUAUUAUUAAACACACUCUAAAACACAAAAGUGUUUAUGGUAUCAGAGCCAGGUUGCUCAAAAGGGGAUGAGUGUGUGAUUUCUAUUUCGCAAAUCUGUGUUCUUUCUUGAGUGUUCUUGAGUGUUCUUGAGUGUUCUUGAGUGUUCUUGGUGUUCUUGAGUUCUGAUCUUUAUUAUCUGAGUGGUGUGAGAUAUUCUGAUGGAUUCAAACUAUCUCAACAUGGAAAUGAAGCACAGAUCUAGUAGUACAACCAUGGACCUUGAAGAAGAGAGGGAUGGCGAUUGGUCAAGAUGGGCAAAGAGAGCUUUGGAAAGCUGUGGGUUAUGGUGUGGUCAUGUAAAGGGGAAGCCUUUAGUGGAAAUGGCUACUGAAGAAAGGUCCAAACUUGUGAAGGUCAGUGGAGACAAGAGAGUGAUCCGUGGCUUGAGACAAGGAAAGGAUGAGUUGUAUCAGCUUGUGGGAAGGCUGAGGGAAGGAUGGAUGGAGCUGGAUAUGCUGAGACCAAGCACAGCUGAUCCGAGAGUUAUUAAAGAAAGAAGGAAACAAGGUGUGUUCUUUAGCUUUCUUGUGAAGGAGAUAUGGGUUCUUACUCUUCAAGCGUGUGAGUUGUGGGAAGAGAACAAGAGAUCAAACCUGUGGAAAGGUGGUACAAGAUGUAAGAAGGGAAGGCUGAGAAAGCUUUCUAGAGUGUGGCUUAAGAUGGGAAAGGCUUGGAAGAAGAACAUGGAGUCUGGUUAUCUAAGUGAUAAGAUGAGCUUGAAGAUGAUCAAGGAGGUGGCUCAACAAGUGGUAAGAGGAGAAUGUUCUUACUCUGCCUAUAUAAGUAACUCAGUGGAGGAUAGUAUGGUUAUGAAGGAGCAGGAGAUCAAAGGAGCAGAUGACCCUAUCACAAAGAAAGAAUGGGAUGGGUUUGUCAAGUAUGUGUAUGCUUUGGCUACGACCCGGAGACAAGGUGCUCCUGCCUUAGCAUCCACAUCCAAACCCAUUAUCAUUGAUUCUGGAGCAACACAUCAUAUGAUCAGUGAUAGAAGUCUGAUAAGUGAAGUCAAGGCUGCAACAGGGAGUGUCAUGAUAGCUAAUGGUGCUAGGAUCCCAAUAGAAGGAGUGGGAAACCUCAAGCUGUUUGAGAAGAACUCACCUGCAUUCUAUUUGCCUCAAUUCACCUCAAAUCUGAUAUCAGUGAAGAAGGCCACAGUUGAUCUUGAUUGUCAAGUAGUAUUCAGGCCAAAUGAGGUUGAGUUUCAAGACUUGAAGACUGGGAGAGUUAUUGGUAGAGGGGACAGCAGGAAUCAGUUAUAUCAUCUCCAAACAGCUAAGAACUCAGCAGGAAUCAGUUAUAUCAUCUCCAAACAGCUAAGAACUCUAAUCCUAUUGAUUCUAUAUGCUUGAGUAGUACUGCUGAUAGGUGUGACAGUAUUACUUGGCAUGCUAGAUUAGGACAUCCUCAUGCUCGUGCAAUUGAAUUGAUUAAACCUAAUAUGUCAUUCAAUCACUUGGAAUGUGAAGCUUGCAUCUUAGGGAAGCAUUGUAGAACUGUUUUUCCCACAUCAGAGACCAUAUAUGCAAAUUGCUUUGAUCUUGUUCAUUCUGAUGUGUGGACAGCCCCUUGUAUGUCUAGAGAAAACCAGAAGUACUUUGUGACAUUCAUAGAUGAGAAGUCUAAGUAUACAUGGAUCACAUUGCUGCCAUCUAAGGAUAGAGUGUUUGAAGCCUUUGUCAACUUCCAAGCAUAUGUAACUAACCAUUACAAUGCUACUGUGAAGGUACUACGGUCUGAUAAUGGAGGAGAAUACACCAGUCAUGCCUUCAAGAAUCAUUUGGCUAAACAUGGGAUAGUGCAUCAGACCAGUUGUCCUUACACACCACAGCAGAAUGGGGUAGCUGAGAGGAAGAAUAGGCAUCUGAUGGAGGUGGCUAGAUCCAUGAUGUAUCAUGCUAGUGUUCCAAAGAGGUUUUGGGGUGAUGCUGUUCAGACUGCAUGCUAUCUUAUCAAUCGGAUUCCAACUAAGGUAUUGAAGAAUCUGUCUCCGUUUGAAGUGCUGAACAAGAGCAAGCCACACAUAGAUCAUCUGCGUGUCUUUGGAUGUCUAUGUUAUGUCUGGGUUCCAGGAGAACAGAGAAACAAGUUGGAGGCAAAGAGCACUAAAGCAAUGCUCAUUGGGUACUCAGUAACUCAGAAGGGGUACAAGUGCUAUGAUACAGCAACCAGGAGAGUGUUGGUGUCUAGAGAUGUUAAGUUCAUAGAGACCAAGGGGUAUUAUGAAGAAAAGAAUUGGGAAGACUUGGAAGAUCUGUCUCAAGAACCAAGAAUGAAGAAAAGAAUUGGAAGGGGUAUUAUGAAGAAAAGAAUUGGGAAGACUUGGAAGAUCUGUCUCAAGAACCAAGAAACAUGGCAGAGAAUCUGAGGAACAUAUUGGAAAGGCUUGGGGUAAACAUGUCCCAGGAUAAGGUUAGAGAACCUGAAAGAACAACUCCCCUUGAUCAUGAGGGGGGGAAUGAGUCUGAAUCAGGAGUGCAAGAGCAGCACCAAGGGGAUUCAGGUCAUCAUGAUCAAGUGGUGACACAAGAAGUAGAGAAUUUUCCUCAGGUCAGUGUGGAUGAGCAAGGAGAGGUUCAUGAUCAAGAGGAGGUGAGUGAGGCAGGAACAGAGGUUCAAGCAGAGGUUCAAACUGAGGAACAGGUUCAACCAUUAAGGAGGAGCACACGGAUAAAGAGGGAUGCUUCCAACUGGGUAAACACGAGAGUGUACUACAAUGCCCAGGCUGUGGAGCAUCCUUCUCAAGCUGUGUGUUCCUUUGCAGAAUAUCCAGAAGAGCACAUGGUGUUUAUGUGUAACUUGGAUGAGAAUGAGAUACCAAGAUCUUAUGAAGAAGCUAUGAGGCACAAGGUUUGGAGAGAUUCAGUAGGAGAUGAAAGGGAUGCAAUGAUCAGGAAUGACACUUGGUAUGAGAGUGAGUUACCUAAAGGGAAGAAGGCAGUUUCAAGCAGAUGGAUCUUCACCAUCAAGUAUCUUGCAAAUGGGGAGAUAGAUAGGCGCAAGACCAGGCUGGUUGCAAGAGGAUUUACACAGACUUAUGGGGAAGAUUACAUUGACACUUUUGCACCAGUGGCCAAGCUUCACACAAUUCGAAUUGUGUUAUCCAUUGCAACAAACUUGGAGUGGGAUUUGUGGCAAAUGGAUGUGAAGAAUGCUUUCUUGCAAGGUGAACUUGAAGAUGAAGUAUACAUGCAUCCACCUCCUGGUCUUGAGCAUCUAGUAAAGCCAGGGAAUGUUUUGAGAUUGAAGAAGGCAAUAUAUGGGUUGAAACAGUCACCUAGAGCUUGGAACAGGAAGUUGAGUACAACACUCAAUGGGAGAGGCUUUAGGAAGUCUGAACUAGAUCACACUCUCUUCACCUUGACAGGACCUUCUGGGAGCAUUGUGAUUCUAGUGUAUGUGGAUGAUUUGAUUAUCACAGGAAGUGAUAAGGCAGGGAUUCAAGCUACUAAGGAGUUUCUCAAAUCUGUGUUUGACAUCAAGGAUUUGGGAGAGAUGAAGUAUUUUCUAGGCAUUGAGAUAUGCAGAUCAAAGGAGGGUUUGUUUAUGUCUCAAAGGAAGUAUACUAUGGAUAUGUUGAAGGAGACUGAUGUGCUUGGAGGAAAGAUAGCUAAGACACCCCUUGAGGAGGGAUAUAAGGUUCUGCGUGAGGGGGAGGUUGAAGAGAAGCAGUUGUUUGAGGAUCCUAAGCUAUACAGGAAGAUGGUUGGCAAGCUGAUCUACUUGACCACCACACGGCCAGAUAUAUGUUUUGCUGUGAACCAAGUGAGUCAACAUAUGCAGGCGCCAAAGGUACAUCACUGGAAGAUGGUUGAUAGGAUACUGAGGUAUUUGAGUGGCACGCCUGGUCAAGGAGUUUGGAUGGGAUGCAAUGGCAGCACAGAAGUAGUGGGCUAUUGUGAUGCUGAUUGGGCAGGAGAUAGAGUGGACAGGAGAUCAACUACUGGCUAUUGUACAUUCAUUGGAGGGAACCUGGUUACUUGGAAGAGUAUUGUACAUUCAUUGGAGGGAACCUGGUUACUUGGAAGAGUAAGAAGCAGAAGGUCAUCUCCUGUUCAAGUGCAGAGGCUGAGUAUAGAGCUAUGUUGAAGCUGACAAUUGUUCAAGUGCUGAGGCUGAAUAUAGGGCUAUGUUGAAGUUGACAAACGAGUUGGUGUGGAUCAAGGGUAUCUUGAAGCAUCUGGAGAUUGAGCAGAGUACUCCUAUGACAAUGCACUGUGACAAUCAAGCAGCUAUCCAUAUUGCUUCUAACUCAGUCUUUCAUGAGAGAACGAAGCACAUAGAAGUGGAUUGUCACAAGGUGAGGCAGAUGAUUAUCUUAGGAGUGAUUCUGCCAUGUUAUACAAGGAGUGAGGAUCAACUGGCUGAUGUGUUUACUAAGGCAGCGAGAUUAAAGACAAUGGAGUCCAUACUUUCUAGGCUUAGGCUCAUUGAUCUUACUCCCAGGAGCUGAUCCCCUUACCCAUGGAGUCUCCACUCUUUUUCCCUCAUCAAGGUUUUAUCCCAAUGGGUUUUCCUUGGUGAGGUUUUUAAUGAGGGAGAUCUUCAUGGUUUCCAAGCUUGACUUGUUCUACAUGGUCAAGCUUGAGGGGGAGUGUUGAGAUGAGGUGAUAAGGAGUGGAUACAUUGAUAGAGGAAGAGUAUUGGGGCAGUUAGUAACUUUGGGGAUUUACCACAGUAACUUUAGUUUUACUGUGGUAACUAAGUUAAAACAUUGGGAAGUUACCUUUCACCCAUUUGGAGAGUGGAUCACGCCUAAGGAGAGUUUGGAUAAGGAAGGAGCAGUCUGGAUAAGGUCUGGUCAUAGCUGGAAAGGAAAACACCUUUACAGCCUGUCCAAGCAUGUGAGAACACCCAUU
rnacentral:lncRNA from 1 species